CGGAAUUUAAUUUUAUUUUUUGUUAUAAAGUUUAUUUGCUUUUCAAUAAAAAUAUGGUUUACAUCAUUUGUGCUCCUUUGGUUAAUUGAAUUUCAAAAGCAAAGAAAUGUAGAAAGAUUCACAUAGGUCCGAUUUUGUACGACUAACCCAAUCGCAAUCGAACGUCGGCGUAUGCAGUCGUGUUUUAUUUUUCAUUGUGAAUCGGGACAACAAUAAAAAUAAAUAUGUUAUUUAAAACCAAACAAAAACAAUAUUAUUAUAUAUACCCUGCAGAACUGGAGGUGUCGAUUGCCCAUGGCUGAUGAAAUUAUUGCAAGCAUUUGAGUUGAAAAGUGCAAAGCGGAUCCACGAUUCUUAGAUAAUAAAAGUACGACAAGCAGUUAGAAUAAUGUAUAGUUUUACAGUGGAAAACUACAAUGUGCCUAAAGAAUUGAAAUUGGAAAUUAUGACAGAAAAUCUACGUUAUGGAAUUAAUGACAGGGGAAUGCGGCCCAAAAAAGAAGACAAUUUCUUUGGUGUUAUGAUCGAUUCAAUAACUGAGGACCAGUUGAGAAAGGCCUUGCAGCUCCAAAAAAAAAAAAAAACGAUAUUUUAAAACUCAAUUUGUCUUAAAGUAAUAAAAG